CAGACUGAGAUGAAAGGUUUUCUGGGGGGUUUUUUUUGGUUACGUUUUAUCUACCUGGCAGAGGCAAGCAGGAUUUCAUCAAUCUUCACAAAACAGUUCCAUCAAACAGCUUUAGAGUCAUUUGGACAGACCUGAGGAUAUUUCUGAAGCUCCACUGAAGACCCGCGUGCUAGCCGACGUUCACUCCGAGGCCGACCUGCAGCUUGUCUCCUCUGUGAUUGACGAAGGCCCCCAUGAUGAGCGUUGCUGGAAGAGGACACAAGCGCUUCUCCAGAACACCUCCUAUGAUACACCGACUAUCCAGCAUACCUAAGGGGAGAUUUUUCCUAAAGUUAUUUUUAAACCUUCUCACAAAGAAAUGUUCAUCACUUCCUGAUUAGAGUUCAAAGAUGAAAGAUGUUGGAGAUUCUUACCUCUGAAAACCAUGUUGGCCUCUGGUAAAUUCAUUUGAUAGCCAAAAGAGAACUUGGUCUCCUGGGUCCUAGUGCUGGCCUCAAACUCCACUCCCACCUGGAUCUGGAAAAAAAUAACUACAACUUAAUCCUGUGCAGCUAGCCUUAAGCUAAUUUAUACACUAUCGACAAAAUAUAACUAUACAAAUAUGCUGCUGGUAUAUGGCCACUGAAAAGCCAAAAGAUUGUGGACACCUGACAGUCACAGUUUUAGACCCUCCUUUUCUGUAAGCGCCACUUUUCUCUUCUCUGAAAGCUUUCCACUAGAUGUUAGAUUGCAGGCCUUUUUACACCUGGUCACUUCAUGUGUUUUCUCUGAUCCGAUAGCUAUCUGAUUUGUUAAAACUGUUCCAUUUACAUUAGGCCACAUAAACGCGUCUUGGCGAAUCGGAUAUCGAUCCGAUCUUUCUACUCCCGCCCAAAAUGCAAAUAUAUUUUACCUCCGGGGUAAUUGAAAUGGAACACGCCUUGGUGUAUGCGGUUGCUACAAAAACAGCAUUUACUGUUUGCUGCAUUUUCGCUGGUGGCAGCAGUGCAUUUUAAGACCAAACGAGACACCUGGGUGAAAGAUCGGAGCCAGCACUGAUGGGAAAACAUAUUUGUUUCUGGCACGAUACACGACUCGUGAGUCACUUGUGAGUAACGUACUUCCGUUUGGGAGGGGUAUAUGUGACAUAUGUGGCUUGAACAACCACAUUCAUUUACACCUGUCCAGUUUCAUCUGAAACACGUCCCAGACCACCUCCUGAAGCGGUUUGAGCGAUCGGAUUUAUAUCCGUCUCGAAAAUGUUUCGGAGGGCAUUUAGACCUGGUCUUUUUACCAUCGGAUAGAUAUCGGAUCACAGAAAACACAUGAAGUGACCAGGUGUAAAAAGCCCCUGUGACUGAUGGGAUUUGAGUUCAUUUAGAUACAAGAGCAUUAGUGUGAUCAGGUGCUGAGGAGGUCUGGGGUGCAGUCGUACUUCCAGCUCAUAAGAAAGAGUCAGAGAUCAGUGCAGGACCCUUGAGUUCUUUGACUUCAGCUUUGGUAAACCUAUGUGUUGUCAUGCUGGAACAGUGAUUGUUCCUCUUAGUUCUAUAUACAAUUUACAUUUACAUUCACAUUUAUGGCAUUUGGCAGACGCCCUUACCCAGAGCGACUUACAUUACACUGAGUAACUGAGCAAUGGAGGGUUAAGGGCCUUGCUCAGGGGCCCAGACGUGGCAGCUUGGUAAACUUGGGAUUUGAACUCACAACCUUCCAAUUGGUAGUCCAACACCAUAACCACAAGGCUACCACGUCUCCUAAACCCCCAAAUUUAACGUUUCCAAAACAUUGUUUGGCAAGGACCUACAGUACACAAUGGUGUAAAGGUUGGGGCGCACAGACCUUUGGCCAUGUACGAUAUACUAAAGACACCCCAAUGACACUUAGACAUCAACCAAUGCAGAAGGUUGGAUUGCGUUUCUGUUGAUCUUGGUCCAAAUUUUUUACGAUCCGAUCUGAGGUGGUUUAAUAGAAGACGCGGGAACCUUCUGUGAAAUUGUUAAAAAGAAGUUGUGUACAUUAGAGACCACAGUACCUGCUUGUUGGCUCUAUGGUAAUAACUGGCAUGGGCUCCUCCUUUACCAGCGUUUAACGUAGCAACCCAAUUGGGACCUGGAAUAAAGUUAAACUAAUAACUGGAAGGAAAUUUGAUCGCACACUCUGAGAUACAUCAACUUUAGGCACAAAAAAGUCAGACAGAAGCCAGUAUUUAGGGUGGUUUGUGGGAGUGGUUUGUGUUUGUUUGUAUUUUUGUACACAAACAACACAAGUAACAAACACACCAGAACAGACACGACAUAACUGAUUGGUUCUUUAUUUUUAUCUGUUUUAGCUAGCUAGCUAGAGUUCAGGGCUAGUUUGGGCUUGUGCCUCAGAGGUACCUCGCUCACCUGAGUAUUGCCCAGCAAGGGUGAGGAUGCCGCCUUCUUCAGCGCGUCCUCGAUGGUAAACCAACUCUCCGCCAAGAACCAGCUGCGGAGAGACGCUCUGGAGGAAGUGCGCCACCAUGAUAACUGUCCCAUGAGAAACGAAUUGCAUUGAAUGUUGUUUUUUGUCCUGAAAUGUAUAAAGAGGAAAAAGAAAUGUGGAAGCAUCCUAACUAGUGAACAGAGAGACUCGUACCAGAUUCUCUAAGGAUGUCUGGGUUGGCCAUAGUGACAGCGGCUGUGAAGUCGCCGCCUCUGUACUCGGUCUCGAACUGCCACGUGACGAACUGUGACUGGACGGUCUGGAAAACACGACGUGUUUAAUCAAAUACCCUGGAUCACAUCGACCGCCCAAACCUGAAUGACCAGAUUUUGUUGUGCAUGAGUACACAACCUGAAAGACUGCUUUGGCUCGUAGUCGCUCGCUCAGGUGGAAUAAAGAGUGAGCGUUCAGGCUGCCAGACGAGUCCAUCUCUCCAAUGAGCAUGGGUGCUCCACAUGGAACCGGUAUGUCGACGGAACCACGGCACUGAUAUGAAACGUGUGGCUGACCUGUUUUUUUUGGGCUGCGAUGAAGGCCAUCAAAGCUGCCCGGGUUUGAAAGUCUUCCGUCUCUCUUGUCCCACCGAGACAGUGGUCUGUCCUGGGGGAAAGGAGAAUUCUGACGCCCAGAGCGAGAUGACAAGGCCAACACGCUGCCCAUGAGGAGACGAUCACUUCCAGCCCUGAUCUUCUGGCCAAAUGACUU